GACGAACGCUGGCGGCGUGCUUAACACAUGCAAGACGAACGGAAAGGCCCUGCUUUUGUGGGGUGCUCGAGUGGCGAACGGGUGAGUAACACGUGAGUAACCUGCCCUUGACUUUGGGAUAACUUCAGGAAACUGGGGCUAAUACCGGAUAGGAGCUCCUGCUGCAUGGUGGGGGUUGGAAAGUUUCGGCGGUUGGGGAUGGACUCGCGGCUUAUCAGCUUGUUGGUGGGGUAGUGGCUUACCAAGGCUUUGACGGGUAGCCGGCCUGAGAGGGUGACCGGCCACAUUGGGACUGAGAUACGGCCCAGACUCCUACGGGAGGCAGCAGUGGGGAAUAUUGCACAAUGGGCGGAAGCCUGAUGCAGCAACGCCGCGUGCGGGAUGACGGCCUUCGGGUUGUAAACCGCUUUCGCCUGUGACGAAGCGUGAGUGACGGUAAUGGGUAAAGAAGCACCGGCUAACUACGU
rnacentral:rRNA from 1 species